CAGCUCGUGUCGUGAGAUGUUGGGUUAAGUCCGCAACGGGCGCAACCCCUAUUGUUAGUUGCCAUCAUUCAGUUGGGCACGUCUAGCGAGACUGCCGGUAAUAAACCGGAGGAAGGUGGGGAUGACGUCAAAUCAUCAUGCCCCUUAUGACCUGGGCUACACACGUGCUACAAUGGUUGGUACAACGAGUUGCGAGUCGGUGACGGCGAGCUAAUCUCUUAAAGCCAAUCUCAGUUCGGAUUGUAGGCUGCAACUCGCCUACAUGAAGUCGGAAUCGCUAGUAAUCGCGGAUCAGCACGCCGCGGUGAAUACGUUCCCGGGCCUU
rnacentral:rRNA from 1 species